CAACCCUGAUCCAGCCAUGCCGCGUGCGGGAAGAAGGCCUUCGGGUUGUAAACCGCUUUUGUCAGGGAAGAAACGCGCUGGGCUAAUACCUCGGCGUAAUGACGGUACCUGAAGAAUAAGCACCGGCUAACUACGUGCCAGCAGCCGCGGUAAUACGUAGGGUGCAAGCGUUAAUCGGAAUUACUGGGCGUAAAGCGUGCGCAGGCGGCUUUGCAAGACAGAUGUGAAAUCCCCGGGCUUAACCUGGGAACUGCAUUUGUGACUGCAUGGCUGGAGUGCGGCAGAGGGGGAUGGAAUUCCGCGUGUAGCAGUGAAAUGCGUAGAUAUGCGGAGGAACACCGAUGGCGAAGGCAAUCCCCUGGGCCUGCACUGACGCUCAUGCACGAAAGCGUGGGGAGCAAACAGGAUUAGAUACCCUGGUAGUCCACGCCCUAAACGAUGUCAACUGGUUGUUGGACGGCUUGCUGUUCAGUAACGAAGCUAACGCGUGAA
rnacentral:rRNA from 1 species